CGACGCUUCUUUUUCCACCGGAGCUUGCUCCACCGGAAAAAGAGGAGUGGCGAACGGGUGAGUAACACGUGGGUAACCUGCCCAUCAGAAGGGGAUAACACUUGGAAACAGGUGCUAAUACCGUAUAACAAUCGAAACCGCAUGGUUUUGAUUUGAAAGGCGCUUUCGGGUGUCGCUGAUGGAUGGACCCGCGGUGCAUUAGCUAGUUGGUGAGGUAACGGCUCACCAAGGCGACGAUGCAUAGCCGACCUGAGAGGGUGAUCGGCCACAUUGGGACUGAGACACGGCCCAAACUCCUACGGGAGGCAGCAGUAGGGAAUCUUCGGCAAUGGACGAAAGUCUGACCGAGCAACGCCGCGUGAGUGAAGAAGGUUUUCGGAUCGUAAAACUCUGUUGUUAGAGAAGAACAAGGAUGAGAGUAACUGUUCAUCCCUUGACGGUAUCUAACCAGAAAGCCACGGCUAACUACGUGCCAGCAGCCGCGGUAAUACGUAGGUGGCAAGCGUUGUCCGGAUUUAUUGGGCGUAAAGCGAGCGCAGGCGGUUUCUUAAGUCUGAUGUGAAAGCCCCCGGCUCAACCGGGGAGGGUCAUUGGAAACUGGGAGACUUGAGUGCAGAAGAGGAGAGUGGAAUUCCAUGUGUAGCGGUGAAAUGCGUAGAUAUAUGGAGGAACACCAGUGGCGAAGGCGGCUCUCUGGUCUGUAACUGACGCUGAGGCUCGAAAGCGUGGGGAGCAAACAGGAUUAGAUACCCUGGUAGUCCACGCCGUAAACGAUGAGUGCUAAGUGUUGGAGGGUUUCCGCCCUUCAGUGCUGCAGCUAACGCAUUAAGCACUCCGCCUGGGGAGUACGACCGCAAGGUUG
rnacentral:rRNA from 1 species